UCUCUCAUAGUAUAAUGGUUGAAUACACACACCUUAUAUUGCGUUGGCCUUGUUUCGAAACGUUCUGUGUGGGAUCUGGGUUCGAGUCCCGGUGAGAGAG